UGGAGCUAGAGUAUAUUAUGCUAAGUGAAAUAAGUCAAUCAGAGAAAGACAAAUACCGUAUGAUUUCAUUCAUAUGUGGAAUUUAAGAAACAAAAUAAAUGAAAAUAUGGUGGAGAGAGAGAAAGAGAGAGAGAGAGGAAAACAAACCAUAAGAGACUCCUAACAAUAGAGAACACACUGAGGGUUAUUGGAGGGAAGUAGGUGGGGGAUGGGCUAGAUGGCAGGCCCGUAUUAGGAGGGCACUUGUUAUGAUGAGCACUGGGUGUUGUAUGUAAGUGACGAACCACUGAAUUCUAGUCCUGAAACCAAUAUUGCACUGUAUUUUACCUAACUAGAAUUUAAAUAAAAAUUUGGGGGGGGGGAGUGAAAAGAAAAGAAUUUUCAAAUAUACAAGCUUCAAAACCUCCUAUGAUUCCUUUCUCAGAAAGCAGCAGAGGAUGUGCUGCUUCCAAACUACAAAGAAAACCAAGAAAAAGGAAACCAGAGAAACGAGAACAGAGGAGAUUCAACACAAGAACUACUACUACUAGAGGAAAGAAGGCUGGAGAGAAUUGGGAGAGACAGGAGCAGGGCAGAGGGAGAGAGAGAAUCUUAAGCAAGCUCCAUGCCCAACAUCUCACAACCUUGAGAUCAGGACCUGAGCUGAAAUCCAGUCAUCCAGUUAACUGA
rnacentral:lncRNA from 1 species